ACGCUCGACACCUACGGGAGGCAGCAGUAGGGAAUCUUCCACAAUGGGCGCAAGCCUGAUGGAGCAACACCGCGUGAGUGAAGAAGGGUUUCGGCUCGUAAAGCUCUGUUGUUGGAGAAGAACGUGCGUGAGAGUAACUGUUCACGCAGUGACGGUAUCCAACCAGAAAGUCACGGCUAACUACGUACCAGCAGCCGCGGUAAUCUGAGCGGGCUGGCAAGGC
rnacentral:rRNA from 1 species